GAUGAAGAACGUAGCGAAAUGCGAUAAGUAGUGUGAAUUGCAGAAUUCAGUGAAUCAUCGAAUCUUUGAACGCACAUUGCGCCUUCUAGUAUUCUGGGAGGCAUGCCUGUUUGAGCGUCAUUAAACCUCUCUCAAGUAUGAUUACUUGGAUGUGAAGGAAGAGUACCUUAAACUUAAGGAGUGUUCUCCUUUGAAAUUGAUUAGCAGAUGGUAAUGUUAUUAAAUCCCUGAUGUUGUAAGAAAUAACAGUGGUUUUGUAGACUAUUAUCUAGCUUUAAAUUAUAAUUUUUAUUAUGGUUGACCUCAAAUCAGGUAAGGAUACCCGCUGAACUUAAGCAUAUCAAUAAGCGUAGGA
rnacentral:misc_RNA from 1 species